rnacentral:rRNA from 1 species
GUCCGCACUGUAAACGAUGAUUACUCGCUGCUGGGAGGUAACUUUCAGUGGCUUAGCGAAAGCGAUAAGUAAUCCACCUGGGGAGUACGCAGGCAACGGUGAAACUCAAAGGAAUUGACGGGGGCCCGCACAAGCGGAGGAGCAUGUGGUUUAAUUCGAUGAUACGCGAGGAACCUUACCAGGGCUUGAAAGUUAGUGACCGACUCUGAAAGGAGUCUUUCCGCAAGGACACGAAACUAGGUGCUGCAUGGCUGUCGU